rnacentral:rRNA from 1 species
UACGUAGGUGGCGAGCGUUGUCCGGAUUUAUUGGGCGUAAAGGGCGCGUAGGCGGUCAUGAAAGUCACGUGUGAAAUCCUGGGGCUCAACCCCAGAACAGCAAGUGAAACUUCAUGUCUAGAGGGUAGGCGGAGAAAACGGAAUUCCACAAGUAGCGGUGAAAUGCGUAGAUAUGUGGAAGAACACCGGUGGCGAAGGCGGUUUUCUAGCUUAAACCUGGACGCUGAGGCGCGAAAAGCAAGGGGAUCAAACAGGG